CUGCAGGAUUUUCACACAACACAUGCAUGAGGGUAGGCGUUUCCACUUUUGGGAGUGAUGUACGUAUGGCCUGCAGCAAUGUUGACAUUUGUUAUCUGGUAUGCAAAAUAUGCAGAUUUUGUGUAUAAAAAGAGGCGACAUCGGCAACUUAGUUGAAUUGAGUUCAAGCUUAAGUGUCAUUGUGGGAAAACCAACAACAAAUCAAAGAAUCCACAUAUUCCAGUCCAGCCGGAUUGCACAUUUGAAGGCAAAAAUAUCCCCAAUAAGAAGAAGUGAAACCAUAACUGAGGAUGAAUUUCUUCAUCAUCGUCGCGGCCCUUAUGUCAUCCUGUAUUGAGGUUGGGCAAAAAAUAAUAAUAAUAAUUAAUAAUCUGCUGGCACACCUGUUAUGUAAAAAUACUCAUUGCCUUUUUUCUACUCAAUUUAGGCAAGGUCUACAAAGUGGCUAUUUAAUCGACAGAGCAC
ensembl:lncRNA